AUGGUCGCCUACAAAGUGGUGCUGAUCCGGCAUGGCGAAGAGCGCAUGGAACCUGGAGAACUGCUUCAGCGGCUGGUACGAGGGCGACCUGAGCCUGGCACCACAAGCAGGCAAAGCACGCAGGCAGGCGCUGCGAGAUGCUGGCUAUGAGUUUGACAUCUGCUUCACCUCAGUGCAGAAGACAGUGAUCCAGACCCUCUGGGCAGUGCUAGAUGCCAUGGAUCAAAUAGGGCUGCCAGCAGUGAGGACUUGGCGCCUCAGUGAGCGGCACUAUUUGUUACGAAGCAUGGUGAGGCCCAGGUCAAGAUCUGGAGGCACUCCUGUGAUGUCCCUCCACCUCCAGUGGAGCAUAGCCACCCUUUCUACAGCUACAUCAGUAAGGAUCGCAGGUGUGCAGACCUCACAGAAGAUCAGCCACCCUCCUGUGAGAGUCUGAAGGACACUAUUGCCAGAGCUCUGCCAUUUUAGAAGGAAGAAAUAGUUCCCCAGAUCCAGGAGGGGAAAUGGGCACUGAUUGCUGCCCAUGGCAACAGCAUCCGGGGCACUGCCAAGCAUCUGGAGGGUCUCUCUGAAGUGGCUAUCAUGCAGCUGAACCUGCUGACUGCUAUUCCCCUUGCCUAUGAAUUGGACAAGAACCUGAAACCCAUCAAGUCCGUGCAGUUUCUGGGGGAUGAAGAGACCGUGCGUAAAGCCAUGGAAGCUGUGGCUGCCCAGGGCAAGGCCAAGAAGUGAAGGCCAGCGGGCAGGCUGCUGUCCCCAGGAGCACCCUCCCUGCCGGUCACGUCCCUCUGCCCCUCCCUCCUGCACGUGUCACACUGACCACAUCUGUAGGCAUCUUGAGUUGUAGCUGCAGAUGGGGACCAGUGGCUCCCACUUUCAUUUCAGCCAUUUUGUCUCCUGCACCCACUCCCUUCACACAUUCUGGUCAGAAUAGCACUUCCAGGGCAUGGGUUCUCAGUCCAAGCUGUGGGAAAUCUCCCCUUAUCCAAGAGAGUUGAAACGUAGUGACU